AAUGGAGGCAACUCUGACGCAGCCAUGCCGCGUGCAGGAAGACGGCCCUACGGGUUGUAAACUGCUUUUAUCCGGGAAGAAACCCCUCGACGUGUCGAGGGUUGACGGUACCGGAGGAAUAAGCACCGGCUAACUUCGUGCCAGCAGCCGCGGUAAUACGAAGGGUGCAAGCGUUAUCCGGAUUCAUUGGGUUUAAAGGGUGCGUAGGCGGGGCGUUAAGUCAGUGGUGAAAUCCUGCAGCUUAACUGUAGAAUUGCCAUUGAUACUGGCGCUCUUGAGUACGCUUGGCGUGGGCGGAAUGUGCCGUGUAGCGGUGAAAUGCUUAGAUAUGGCACAGAACACCGAUCGCGAAGGCAGCUCACGAAGGCGAAACUGACGCUGAGGCACGAAAGCGUGGGGAUCGAA
rnacentral:rRNA from 1 species